GACGGGUGAGUAACACGUGGGUACCCUGCCUGUAAGACUGGGAUAACUCCGGGAAACCGGAGCUAAUACCGGAUAGUUCCUUGAACCGCAUGGUUCAAAGGAUGAAAGACGGUUUCGGCUGUCACUUACAGAUGGACCCGCGGCGCAUUAGCUAGUUGGUGGGGUAAUGGCUCACCAAGGCGACGAUGCGUAGCCGACCUGAGAGGGUGAUCGGCCACACUGGGACUGAGACACGGCCCAGACUCCUACGGGAGGCAGCAGUAGGGAAUCUUCCGCAAUGGACGAAAGUCUGACGGAGCAACGCCGCGUGAGUGAUGAAGGUUUUCGGAUCGUAAAGCUCUGUUGUUAGGGAAGAACAAGUGCGAGAGUAACUGCUCGCACCUUGACGGUACCUAACCAGAAAGCCACGGCUAACUACGUGCCAGCAGCCGCGGUAAUACGUAGGUGGCAAGCGUUGUCCGGAAUUAUUGGGCGUAAAGGGCUCGCAGGCGGUUUCUUAAGUCUGAUGUGAAAGCCCCCGGCUCAACCGGGGAGGGUCAUUGGAAACUGGGAAACUUGAGUGCAGAAGAGGAGAGUGGAAUUCCACGUGUAGCGGUGAAAUGCGUAGAGAUGUGGAGGAACACCAGUGGCGAAGGCGACUCUCUGGUCUGUAACUGACGCUGAGGAGCGAAAGCGUGGGGAGCGAACAGGAUUAGAUACCCUGGUAGUCCACGCCGUAAACGAUGAGUGCUAAGUGUUAGGGGGUUUCCGCCCCUUAGUGCUGCAGCUAACGCAUUAAGCACUCCGCCUGGGGAGUACGGUCGCAAGACUGAAACUCAAAGGAAUUGACGGGGGCCCGCACAAGCGGUGGAGCAUGUGGUUUAAUUCGAAGCAACGCGAAGAACCUUACCAGGUCUUGACAUCCUCUGACAACCCUAGAGAUAGGGCUUUCCCUUCGGGGACAGAGUGACAGGUGGUGCAUGGUUGUCGUCAGCUCGUGUCGUGAGAUGUUGGGUUAAGUCCCGCAACGAGCGCAACCCUUGAUCUUAGUUGCCAGCAUUCAGUUGGGCACUCUAAGGUGACUGCCGGUGACAAACCGGAGGAAGGUGGGGAUGACGUCAAAUCAUCAUGCCCCUUAUGACCUGGGCUACACACGUGCUACAAUGGACAGAACAAAGGGCUGCAAGACCGCAAGGUUUAGCCAAUCUCAUAAAUCUGUUCUCAGUUCGGAUCGCAGUCUGCAACUCGACUGCGUGAAGCUGGAAUCCGCUAGUAAU
rnacentral:rRNA from 1 species